UCUUGGUGGCCGUUGAUGAUGGACGCUGUUUCAGCUCCACGCCUCUGGCUCUUCUUCACGACCUCGUUGGGAUGUUUGACUCGCAGAUGUCUCAGCAUGGCCGUGGUGGUGCCCUGGCUAUGUCUGACCAGAAAACUGUUGCAGAGCAGACACUGGACCGACUCUGAGUCGACGGUUUUAAAAAAGACCCACACCACGCUUCUUUUCCCGGCCAUGUCUGCCCUCUGCUGCGGCUUUUCGCGCUGCUCACACUCCGCACUGUAGCGAGCCUCGCACAGGUUGUGAUUCGGAUCUGGCUCCUGACUCAUGAUUUCAACACACUCCCAUUCUCCACUACAGCUGGACCGUUUCACCGCCUCGACCACCGUCUGCACGUACAGACCAUCCUCAAAUGUCGGUGCCAUGGCAACCGGUCCUCGCGCCCAUGACCUGCGCUCUUCGUGAGCCUGAAAAGACUGUCUCAGUGCCUUUACCAUGGAGCUCAGCCCCCGCAGGUGAGGCAGGGGCAUCUCUUUCACCUCUGGUCCUGCCCACCCAUUGUCGCCUAGCAAAAGCUCCUCACCUUUACUCCCAUUGCGCUGACCAUACAGUUCUGUCCCCCUUGCAACGAGUCUCCCAGUGGAUCCAACUACCAUAACCUCAUGCACAUACGACCCUGGCAUGUUGAAGUUCAGUGUCACAGUGCAACACACACUACCAGAGCUAGACCCAGUUUCACCCAUCAACAUUUGGAAGAAACAGAAAUCAUCACUGGUGACGCGGCGGAUGCCUCGGAUAACACCAUUCUGUUGUACAAAGGUCCGCAGUAAGCCAUGAACACGAUGGGCUCGUGCACCGGUUAGGUAACUUAAAAGGUCAAUUAUGGCAGAGCCGACAGUGUGCAGACCGCCUCCUCCCAUCAGCUCUUCACAUGUCCAGCCGUACGAGUGAUCCAGGAGGCUCGGGCCAUAGACUCGGACAUCACACACCUGCAUUUCGCCAACAUAUCCCUCCACCAGCAGCUUGCGCAUUGCAACAAAGGCAGGCAGGAAGCGCAGGGUAUUACCCAUAAUGCUGAGCAGCUGGGGGUAGUAUCUGGCAGCAGUCACCAUCUUGAAUGAAUCCACAGCAGUUGCAGCUUUCUCACACACAACAUUCUUACCUAUACCUGCAGAACGAGGAGGGGUAGAGAGGGGUUAUAAUUAGUUAGAUAAAAUUUAAUUUAAUGAUCUCUGGGAUAAAGGCAAUGAGAAAACCAGGAUUUUGAUUAUCAAAGAUACAAUCUUGCCUUGUUUUGCAACAGCAGCAACGAAAAAGGUUAAACAAGUGAUUUCCUUCUUUGAAUUAAUCUUUGAUGUUGCAUCACGUUAACUCAUUAUGGUUCUUAACCUGCUUACACACAAUUCAACAGCAUUACAGACCAACUUGCAGCGUCAAAAAUUAACAAAGUUGAUUCAACACAAAAGGUAGGAUUUAUUGCAGGACUGCAGCUAAGUGUACCUAAACUACAGUUAAAAUGGCAGAUGACUAUAUAUUAAAUAUGAUUUGAAAGUGUAGGGUGUCCUUCGUGUCUCACUGCUCGGGCACGCUGUGGAGUUGAUUGCCUUAGAUGGCAUUACUGCCCAGUUCCUGGAGUUUGGUAUGAAUAAACAAAAUUCAAAGUUCUCCUGCAACCACAUGUGAUAACAGAGAGGGUGUGCACAGUUUUUAUAUAUGGAGAUCAGUGGCUUUCAAUACCCCUUGGAAGUAGUGGCGUAGAUAAGUCCUUUGGUGGGGACACACUCAGGAAGUUGCAACUAAAACAGGAAGCUGAGGUCAACACUCAGGAAUUCCAUCAGAUACAGUAGGUUAACUUUUUAGAUCUCUCUCAAUCCUGUGAUACGACAAUGUGUACAUUAUGCUUCAGUGUGUUGCUAACUGAGUUAAGAUGUGGGAAAAUUUUUGUCUGUACGUUUUGUUUGGGGUUUCCCACCCUCAAAUUACUAUGUUCCCUAUGGGCACGGCUAUGAUCACCAUUAAUCACAUCUCAAAGAUUAACCCUGAGAAAGACGUUACAGAAGCCAUUUCCAGUAUAUGCAUCGUUUGGAGAGUUUUGCCAUUACAGUCAGAAAAUUCAAAUCUGUUCCAGAGCCGACCUGCCACGCCCAGCUGGCUCAGGUCACGUCGGCAAUUUGUAUAACUCACAUGAACAUGCAAAUGGUAAUCGGAAUGUAAGACCUGAACCUGGUGUUGAGGAUGAACUCUGAGCUUUUUCAUAGCAAUGCCAUGUGUUUUAUGGUUUGUGAUAAACAUGACUACAAAUGUUAAGCUUAAAAGUGCCAGUUAAACACUUUAAAUAUACCCAAGUUUUUUGGACAACCUGGCAGUUUAGUAAACGUUUGUGUGUUUGUGACCCGUUACCCAGUGCUUUGACAGCAAUCUGCCUCGUCAUUGAAGGUGGAAUAUGGAUGCAAACAAGGUCGACAUCUUGGUGCAGUAGGACGUCAUCAGAUCGGCUGGUGUGAAAUGGGAUGCCAAGCUCCUUCGCCAAGCAGCACGCUUCCUCUUCACUUCGCCCCCAGAGCGCAUGAACCUCAAAGCCUUCAGCUUUCAGCAACGGGACCAGCACUCGGGCUGUGCUACCCGUGCCAAAUACACCGACUCCUGGCAACAUGGCAAGGCCACUCACUGCGACCUUACGUGUUAACCAUUGCCAGCUUCACAAACAUCCCAACAGACAACGAUUCACUCGUCUGUCAAGGCCUUUACCAUGUCUGGAAUUCAAAGAGAGCUUUCAGUACCUGUAAAAAUAAAAGAACAGACAAAUGAAGCUA